AAAGGUGAAAGGGAACAGAGCUGCAUUCCUAGAGAGGCCAGGGGAGGGGGAGUCCUUCCUCCGAAGCUCCUUCCCUCCUUCGUCUCUCUUUUCUGCACGAGCUGCCUUGCUGGCGCCUCCUGGAAUCCGGAAUCCUGAGAGUACAGAUGGAUGAGCAAGACCCAGCUGGCCCUGAAGCAGGAAGAGGCCAUGCCAUGGAAACUGGAAGCCGUGGGGGAUUCUGGGAAAACUCAGUGCAGUUGGGUGAGGUGGACACUCUUCGCUCAGAUGUGCAGAGCCAGCAGUUGAGA